CUGCUAAAUUCUUUUCUUUGGAAAUAUAAAUUUUAUUUCCAUACCAAUAGCAAAAUUGACUUCUUUUGCCACUUCAUAAAAUUAUUCUUACAAUUGUGAACUUCAGAGUUGUGAAGCACUCAGUGUACAUAUUGUAAAGUACUGGUAUAUUUGAAAGUUCCUUUAAGCUGCUAAUCAAAUCCAAUACAUACUUCAUAUGCAUGCUACCUCCUUUUUAGAUAUAUCCAUGAUGUUUGCUGCAAAGAGUUAAGAAUCUAGUGAAGCUGCCUAGAAAGAAACUUGAAGCCCAAGGGGCAAGGGAGAUGGCUCAGUGGAUAAAGUGCCUACCAUGCAAACACAAGGGCCUGAGUUUGGGUCUCCAGCACUAACAUAAAGGACAGGCAUUAUCACACAUGUCUGUCUGCCACCUGAGUGAUGGAGAAAGGAUCUCUAAGUCUUCUGGCCUGACGAUCCAGCCAAUGGGCAAGCUCCAGGAUUACAGCGAAACCCUGUCUGAAAGGGGCUAGAAAGACCAAGGCUGAAGUGCUGGGUGAAGAAAUGAAGAGAUCCCUUCAACUUGACUAGGCUGGAAGCUGAUUCCAUAGAGGAAAGAGCAGACACACCAUCCACCCAUGAGGCCAUGUUCUCACUUGUCUAUAAAAUGGGGUGAUAAUCCAGGCUUUAAGAAAAUACAGCACAGAAGACUUACUGUUACUCCAUAGGGGGCGUGUUUGGAUUGUUAACUCUGUCAGAGUAGAAAAAUUCAACAGUGAUGCCACCGGCUAGUCACUCUUCAAAGGAUGUGAGAAGGCUCAUCCCUAAGCUCCUGCCACCUCACCUGAUCUCCAUAACCAACUGGAGUCCCUGAGGCUUGAGACCAGACGCAUUCUUCCUCCCUUAAGCUGCAUCAGGCCUAGCAGUGAGAAGAGCUGCCCAAUGGUUGGCCUCCAUCAAGAGACUGGGCAGCUAGAGGAGCUGGUGUUAAGUGCAGACGGUUCCACAUUGGUGGUUAUGUGUUUCACUUUUUACGUAAUGGCACACCAAGGAAUGCAACUAUAAUAUAAAGAAAGCUACACGUCAGUCUGCCAUAGAAGCACAUUGGGAAUGUCUCCUGUGAAAGAGCAAAGCGGGCCAGGAAUUGUUUUUUUCCAAAGAAUGAAGUGAAGCUCAACUCUCAAGAAAUAGAUCUGACAGCUCUGCAGUUUGUGUCCCUAGGUAAACUAUUUCUGUUGAUGGCUGCUCCAUUCCUUCAGACCCAGAGGACACUGACACGGGACUGAUAGGACAGUGUGUUUAUUGUGAUGAUGUCCUAUUCACCGACCCUAAGAGGGAACUCUGCAUAAAAACAACACCUACUAACUAUCUUGUUCAUGCUAGAGACUAAUUAUUUCCCUGCCAGGAGGUAUAAUUAUGGUCAAAAUAAUGCAAAUGAACUAACUCAAGACCUGGACAUACCUUUUUGAGGAAUACAAGUCAAC
rnacentral:lncRNA from 1 species